GAUGAACGCUGGCGGCGUGCUUAACACAUGCAAGUCGAGCGAAUUUUGUUAGUGGAAGUUUUCGGAUGGAAGCUAAUGAAGUUAGCGGCGGACGGGUGAGUAACGCGUGGGAAACCUGCCCUAUACAGGGGGAUAGCCUCGGGAAACCGGGAUUAAUACCCCAUAAAACUCAAAUAUCGCAUGAUAUAAGAGUCAAAACUGAGGUGGUAUAGGAUGGUCCCGCGUCUGAUUAGCUAGUUGGUGAGGUAACGGCUCACCAAGGCGACGAUCAGUAGCCGGCCUGAGAGGGUGAACGGCCACAUUGGAACUGAGACACGGUCCAAACUCCUACGGGAGGCAG
rnacentral:rRNA from 1 species